UACGGAGGGUGCAAGCGUUAUCCGGAUUCACUGGGUUUAAAGGGUGCGUAGGCGGGCAGGUAAGUCAGUGGUGAAAUCUCCGGGCUUAACCCGGAACUGCCGUUGAUACUAUCUGUCUUGAAUAUCGUGGAGGUAAGCGGAAUAUGUCAUGUAGCGGUGAAAUGCUUAGAUAUGACAUAGAACACCCAUUGCGAAGGCAGCUUACUACACGAUCAUUGACGCUGAGGCACGAAAGCGUGGGUAGCAAACAGG
rnacentral:rRNA from 1 species